UGGGGAAUAUUGGACAAUGGGGGGAACCCUGAUCCAGCCAUGCCGCGUGUGUGAAGAAGGCCUUAUGGUUGUAAAGCACUUUAAGCGAGGAGGAGGCUACUUUAGUUAAUACCUAGAGAUAGUGGACGUUACUCGCAGAAUAAGCUCCGGCUAACUCUGUGCCAGCAGCCGCGGUAAUACAGAGGGUGCAAGCGUUAAUCGGAUUUACUGGGCGUAAAGCGCGCGUAGGCGGCUAAUUAAGUCAAAUGUGAAAUCCCCGAGCUUAACUUGGGAAUUGCAUUCGAUACUGGUUAGCUAGAGUGUGGGAGAGGAUGGUAGAAUUCCAGGUGUAGCGGUGAAAUGCGUAGAGAUCUGGAGGAAUACCGAUGGCGAAGGCAGCCAUCUGGCCUAACACUGACGCUGAGGUGCGAAAGCAUGGGGAGCAAACAGG
rnacentral:rRNA from 1 species